rnacentral:rRNA from 1 species
UACGUAGGGUGCGAGCGUUAAUCGGAAUUACUGGGCGUAAAGCGUGCGCAGGCGGUUUGCUAAGACAGGUGUGAAAUCCCCGGGCUUAACCUGGGAACUGCGCUUGUUACUGGCAGGCUUGAGUGUGGCAGAGGGGGGUGGAAUUCCACGUGUAGCAGUGAAAUGCGUAGAUAUGCGGAGGAACGCCGAUGGCGAAGGCAGCCCCCUGGGCUAACACUGACGCUCAUGCACGAAAGCGUGGGGAGCAAACAGG